AUAAACAGACCUACACUUUCUUUACUGGGAUGUCUGUGGUCAAAACCUCUUAGCAUAACUGGAGAAGCGCUUCAGGAAUUACUUAUGACUGAAAUCAGGAAGCAUGGCCUAAACCCAGAUAAUAUUGUGGGUCAGUGACCUUGGAGAAAAGCUGCUACAUUUUUCCAAUAGCAACAAGGAAUCCUAGAACAGCACUUACCACAGGCCUUUAAUAUACUGGUUGGGAUGCGAAAAAAAACCAUUCAGAGAAUGGGUUCACUGAGAUGGUUCGACACUACGAUGAAAGCACCUCGGGCGAUCAAACUGUAUGGAUUAAAUCUCAGUUUAACUGUAACACUAGAACUGUUACUUAGUAAUCAACAUACCUUCUAAAGGUGCAUAUGCACCUGCUUUACUUUUACUAUUCAAACGGUUGCUUUCAUCCAUGUAUUAAACAAAAGUGACGGUUUUUCAGAAUGUUUUUUUUUUUUUUUAACAUACAUCAAAUAUUUGUGUGAGAGUUGGUAAUGUUUUUAUACACGUUUUCAUUAUGGAGUUAAAGUCAAUUCAUCAGUUCCCUUUUCAUGAAACAAGUAUACAAUAAAGAACCAUAUGACAUUGACCAGGCUUUUUCUUGUAACAGUUUUGUAGUCAUUCCAAGAAUAAAAUGAACAAUUAAAAUUAGUUGAACUUCAAGGUCUGAAUAUGUCAACAAGUUAGUGGUUGUGGGACUCUAUGUUA